rnacentral:rRNA from 1 species
UACGGGGGAUGCAAGCGUUAUCCGGAUUUAUUGGGUUUAAAGGGUGCGUAGGCUGUGAGGUAAGUCAGCGGUGAAAUGCCCCCGCUCAACGGGGUGAAGUGUCAUUGAUACUGCCUUGCUGGAAUGCGGAUGCCGUGGGAGGAAUGUGUGGUGUAGCGGUGAAAUGCAUAGAUAUCACACAGAACACCGAUUGCGAAGGCAUCUCACGAAUCCGCUAUUGACGCUGAUGCACGAAAGCGUGGGUAUCAAACAGG